ACUCAUGAUUCUCUUCAUAAUUGAAUGAGUCUUUUGCUUUUUACUAAAGAUUCAUAUAGGGAGGGAAAAGCAUGACUGUUGCCUCAAUAUUUUGAUAUUGAGGUGAUAUAAAUUACCU